rnacentral:lncRNA from 10 species
GGCUCAUUUGGCAGCAACCCUGAGACGCUUUACAGCCCUAGACCCUAAAAGGUCAAAAGGCCGUCUUAUUCUCAAUAUACACUUUAUUACCCAAUUUGCUCCCAACAUUAAAUAAAACUCCAAAAAUUAAAUUCCAGCCCUCAAACCCCAAAACAGGACUUAAUUAACCUCACCUUCAAGGUGUACAAUAAUACAGUGAAGGCAGCCAAUUGCAACGUAUUUCUGAGUUGCAAUUCUUUGCCUCCACUGUCAGACAAACCCCAGCCACAUCUCCAGUACACAAGAACUUCCAAACGCCUGAACCACAGCAGCCAGGCAUUCCUCCAGAACCUCCUCCCCCAGGAGCUUGCUACAAGUGCCAAAAAUCUGGCCACCAGGCCAAGGAAUGCCCGCAGCCUGGGAUUCCUCCUAAGCCAUUUCCCAUCUGUGUGGGACCCCACUGAAAAUCGGACUGUUCAACUCACCUGGCAGCCACUCCCAGAGCCCGUGGAACGCUGGUGCAAGGCUCUUUGACUGACUCCUUCCCAGAUCUUCUCAGCUUAACGGCUGAAGACUGAUGCUGCCGAAUUGCCUCAGAAGCCCCUAGACCAUCACGGACGCUGAGCUUCAAGUAACUCUCACAGUGGAAGGUACUGGAGUGUGGAGUCUUUGGCAAGCAAGGGAGCAGGAUUGCAAGUGAUGGAUGUACCACUUAAAUGAUGCUUUGCAAAGCCUUCAUCAUGUUCUGGCAGAAGAGUCACAAGAGAAUAAAUGACUUUCUUUUAAAUUCCAAGAGCAGGAAGGAGGAGACAGACAGUGUGAAUGUCACAGUCCCCAUUCAAUUGAUUUCUUAGUCAUCAAUGCUAAAGAGCAAUCUCCAGAGGAAAGAGAAGCUCAAAUACACAGACCCAUGGAAGUUUGAGUUAUCUUUAACGAAAUCUAAAGAAUUUCAUUGUUUUUAUUUAUUUGGGAAGAAAAUUAUUUACACAUCAUUAAAAAAUGUAAAAAAAGAAAACUGCGAAAAGAUGGAAAAUAGAGAAGAGUAAAUAAUCAUUAUGUUUUCCACCACUCAUACAGUUUUACUUUUCAAGUUUCUCUUUCUAAUUUAAUAGAGCUGAGUUUCAGGAUUAAAGUUACAAAGUGGCGAGAAUACUCAUAAAUCAUUUAGUUAAGUUUCCCAUUAAUAAAAUCAAAUAUGUUAAAUAGUAAAUUAAUAAAUUACUAAAUAUAAUUAUAAAU